CAGGGAGAGAAAGAGAGAUUGGGAGGAGGAAAGAGGAAGAAAGAGGGAGGUGAGAGUGGAGAAAUUUCAUUUUUGAAAAAUCCAGGGGAUUUUGCUGACCACAGAGACUUGAGACUUUUCUCACCUUCCCCUCCUCCUCCCCUCCUCCUCCCCUCCUCCUCCUCUCCUCCCUUCUCUUUCCCCUUCCCCCUCCCUUCCCCUCUUUUU
rnacentral:miRNA from 1 species